AGACUUUGAUCCUGGCUCAGGAUGAACGCUGGCGGCGUGCUUAACACAUGCAAGUCGAACGAACCUUCGGGUUAGUGGCGGACGGGUGAGUAACGCGUGAGAAUCUGCCCUCAGGAGGGGGAUAACGGCUGGAAACGGCCGCUAAUACCCCAUAUGCCGAGAGGUGAAACGAAUUUCGCCUGAGGAUGAGCUCGCGUCUGAUUAGCUAGUUGGUGGGGUAAAGGCCUACCAAGGCGACGAUCAGUAGCUGGUCUGAGAGGAUGAUCAGCCACACUGGGACUGAGACACGGCCCAGACUCCUACGGGAGGCAGCAGUGGGGAAUUUUCCGCAAUGGGCGAAAGCCUGACGGAGCAACGCCGCGUGAGGGAUGAAGGCCUCUGGGCUGUAAACCUCUUUUCUCAAGGAAGAAGAUCUGACGGUACUUGAGGAAUAAGCCACGGGUAUAUCCGUGC
rnacentral:rRNA from 1 species